rnacentral:rRNA from 1 species
AUUGAACGCUGGCGGCAGGACUAACACAUGCAAGUCGAACGAGUGGCGGACGGGUGAGUAAUGUCUGGGAAACUGCCCGAUGGAAGGGGAUAACUACUGGAAACAGUAGCUAAUACCGCAUACCAUCGGAUGUGCACAGAUGGGAUUAGCGAGUAGGUGGGGUAAUGGCUCACCUAGGCGCAGAUCCAUGGCUGGUCUGCGUGGAUGAACAGCCACACUGGAACUGAGACACGUUCCAGACUCCUCCGGUAGGCAGCAGUGGGGAAUAUUGCACAAUGGGCGCAAGCCUUAGGCGGCCAUGCCACGUGUAUGAAGAAGUCCUUCGGGUUGGAAAGUACUUUCAGCGAGGAGGCGUUACUCGCAGAAGAAGCACCGGCUAACUCCGUGCCAGCGGCCGCGGUAAUAC